GAACAGGACAGGAGGCAGAGGAUCAGGCUCCAGGACAGGGACAGGCUGAGCAGCAGUGGGAGAGGAAAAAAGCCAAAAGACAACCGGAAAUUGGGGCUGGAUCAGGUCUUUGUUCUUUCAUCAACAUGUGUGGGGUGAAGAUGUCUGAACUCGACAAUUAUCAUUCAUUUCAAGUAGGUUUCAUAUUUUAUGUACUGUAAAAGGUUUUCAGGAUCCUUGGCAGCCUGGUCUUUUUUUUUUUUUGGCAAAUGGUACAGAAUAGAGCAAGAUUAUCACCUCCCCUGGCCAUGAUGCAACAUUCUUAUUUAUACGUCCAGAGCCUCAUUUGAUUUUUUUUUUCAUUUGAUUUUUUGACAACUGACUUAUUUAGUUGACACUGUGUUUGCGAUCAAAUAAAAUUUCAGUUUUUGUAGGAAUUUUCUUGUCAUUAAAAUUUUUUUUGUAAAAUACAUGGGGAGAAAUUGUCCAAAAUGUAAAUGUCAGUAAAUAUCCAAGGGUCCCUAUGGCUAUAAGUUAAUGAUGGCAUGAAUGAAUAAAUAAAUAAAUGGAGGAAAAGAGACAAAUAUCUCACAUGGAAAAAUGCCAAAAAAAACCUUGUGUAGCUAUUCUCCACUCAAGGAGGUGACACAGAACUCACACUUCACGAGCUUGGCCGCACAGAUGGUUUCCUUCUGAGGAGCACAGCGUAGAGACAGGGAAACAGAGUAAUCGGACACUGGAGAAACGUGACAACCACAAACUCAACCAGGUGAUCAAGGUCGGCAUCAACAGUGAUAAGUCAUGUGAUGAAAAUGCAGAACAUUCUACAUUGCAGAACAUUCUACAAAAGGCCUGAUCAGCACUGCCAAGUUUAUCCAAAACAAGGAACUUCUGAGAAAUGGUCACAGACAAGGGGAAGCUAAGGAACCCUGAGCAGUCAAUGUCACGCAGGAUCUCGGAUGGGUCAAUGUCACACGGGAUCUUGGCUGGGUAGAUGUCACGAGGGAUCUUGGAUGGGACCCUGCAGCAGAACAGGGACAUCAGAGAGCACCCCCAGAUGGUAAAUUUUGGUCACUAACAGUCAGCAGCCAAUGGAUGGCCAUUUGGGAACCAAAGUAAGAAAGCCAUAGGGCCCUGCUCUUAAGAAAACAGUAGAACUUCAUACUGGUGAGAUUCAGAGAAUAAGUUCUGGAUUUUGUGGACAGGAGGUGGCAUGCUCAAUCCUGAUCUUUUUUAUCUGGGCUCUGGUCCUUGGGCUUAUUUCUUU